rnacentral:rRNA from 1 species
GACGAACGCUGGCGGCGUGCUUAACACAUGCAAGUCGUACGGUAAGGCCCUUUCGGGGGUACACGAGUGGCGAACGGGUGAGUAACACGUGCGUAACCUGCCCACAACUUUGGGAUAACGCUAGGAAACUGGUGCUAAUACUGGAUAUGUUCUCCUGCUGCAUGGUGGGGGUUGGAAAGCUCCGGCGGUUGUGGAUGGACUCGCGGCCUAUCAGCUUGUUGGUGGGGUAGUGGCCUACCAAGGCGGCGACGGGUAGCCGGCCUGAGAGGGUGACCGGCCACAUUGGGACUGAGAUACGGCCCAGACUCCUACGGGAGGCAGCAGUGGGGAAUAUUGCACAAUGGGCGCAAGCCUGAUGCAGCAACGCCGCGUGCGGGAUGACGGCCUUCGGGUUGUAAACCGCUUUCAGCAGGGACGAAGCUUUUUGUGACGGUACCUGCAGAAGAAGCACCGGCUAACUACGUG